UAUUUACCUCGUUCCGCCCCAAGAAAGUCCCACAAUUCAUACUACUUCCUGUUUCAAACUCUACGUGAAGUUUAAUUUCACAAAUAUAUUUUUGUUAGUUUUUGGCAGUUUAUUAGAGCAUUUUGUGAUCCCAAACUCUCACCGAGCAUGGCAUCGAAGGCUAAGGCGUCGCAGCCCGCUGUGAUACACAAGGUGAUCAUGGUCGGUAGUGGUGGUGUCGGCAAGUCGGCGCUCACCCUGCAGUUUAUGUACGAGGAGUUUGUUGAGGACUACGAGCCGACCAAGGCGGACUCCUACAGGAAGAAGGUGGUCCUGGAUGGGGAGGAGGUCCAGAUUGACAUCCUGGACACGGCGGGGCAGGAGGAUUACGCCGCCAUACGGGACAACUACUUCCGCAGCGGCGAGGGCUUCCUCUGCGUGUUCUCCAUCACGGAGCAGGAGUCGUUCCAGGCUACAGCUGAAUUCAGAGAACAGAUUUUGCGCGUGAAGAACGAUGACAACAUUCCGUUUCUAUUAGUGGGCAACAAGGCAGAUCUGGAGGACAGACGGCAGGUGACGUUGGACGAGGCGAAUCAACGAGCUCACGGCUGGAAUGUACCCUACGUAGAAACAUCGGCAAAAACUAGGGCAAAUGUAGAUAAGGUAUUUUACGAUCUAAUGCGCGAGAUCCGCUCGCGUAAAAUGAAGGCCAGUCAACAGAGCAACGGACAGAAAGGAAAAAAGACGAAGAAACGAAAAUGUACAAUUUUGUAAAGUUUAGGCAUCAAUGGUUUGGACAAUUGAAUGAAUAGUUUGAAUUUGUAACGUAUUUUAUAUUCAAAACUAUACAGAAAAGAAAAUUCAAUAGGACCACAACAUCCAAACAUCGUAGAAGGUGUUCAGGUUUUUCUUCAUUGAUAUUGACGAUUUUUAAUUUUUAUUUUCUAACCUCAACAUUAAACUGUGCUAUGAGAGGAUAUUUAUUUCAGGUUCAGUGUUAAACUGUUGUAUAAGUUUAACAUUGCUACAUUAAGAUAUAGCAAUUCAACGCUUUCCCACUCAGAAGCAAAGUGAAAAUGGCUAUGUGCAUACAGCAUAAGACCAGAACAGCCUGUGAGAAACUCACAGCCUGUUCAGGUUUUAUGCUGUUUGCUGCUCAUCAGUAUCUUAGGAGUGGAAAUGAAGCCUUUAAAACUUGAAUUUUGUAAGAAAGGUAUUUAAUUUAAUUUUACUUACUAAGGGACUACAAAUAUUUAUGCCCCCCUUCGAAGAAGAGGGGGUAUAUUGCUUUGCUCAUGUCGGUCGGUCGGUCGGUCGGUAGGUCGGUCGGUCGGUCCGUCCACCAGGUGGUUGUCGUAUGAUAACUCAAGAACGCUUGGGGCUAGGAUCAUGAAACUUCAUAGGUACAUUGAUCAUGACUCGCAGAUGACCCCUAUUGAUUUUGAGGUCACUAGGUCAAAGGUCAAGGUCACGGUGACCCGAAAUAGUAAAAUGGUUUCCGGAUGAUAACUCAAGAACGCAUACGCUUAGGAUCAUGAAACUUCAUGGGUAGAUUGAUCAUGACUCGCAGAUGACCCCUAUUGAUUUUGAGGUCACUAGGUCAAAGGUCAAGGUGACCCGAAAUUGUAAAAUGGUUUCCGGAUGAUAACUCAAUAACGCAUACGCCUAGGAUCAUGAAACUUCAUGGGUAGAUUGAUCAUGACUCGCAGAUGACCCCUAUCAAUUUUUUUGGUCACUAGGUCAAAGGUCAAGGUGACCCGAAAUAGUAAAAUGGUUUCCGGAUGAUAACUCAAGAAGGCAUACGCCUACUAGGAUCAUGAAACUUCAUGGGUAGAUUGAUCAUGACUUGCAGAUGACCCCUAUUGUUUUUGAGGUCACUAGGUCAAAGGUCAAGGUCACGGUGACCUGAAAUAGUAAAAUGGUUUUCGGAUGAUAACUCAAGAACGCAUACGCCUAGGAUCAUGAAACUUCAUAGGUAGAUUGAUCAUGACUAGCAGAUGACCCCUAUUGAUUUUGAGGUCACAAGGUCAAAGGUCAAGGUCACAGUGACCCGAAAAAGUAAAAUGAUUUUCGGAUGAUAACUCAAGAACGCUUUUGCCUAGGAUCAUGACACUUCAUAGGUACAUUGAUCGUGACUCGCAGAUGACCCCUAUUGAUUUUCAGGUCACUAGGUCAAAGGUCAAGGUCACAGUGACAAAAAUCGUACUCACACAAUGGCUGCCACUACAAUAGACAGCCCAUAUGGGGGGCAUGCAUGUUUUACAAACAGCCCUUGUUUAAAAUACAUUUUCCAAGUGGUAAAGGGUUAACUAUUACCGGUAAUCAUGUUGGCUGCUGCAGUAACAAUAUUGGUAGUUUCAUGCACGUUGAUAAUUUACAUUGGUGAGCAAAAUGUCAAUGCCUUUAUGAAAUGUUUAAUUGGGCCAUGCUCUGUGAAACGGGGGUUAACCCUUUGCAUGCUGGGAAAUUUGUCGUUUGCUAAAAUGUCGUCUGCUGAAUUUCUGAAAUUAGCAUUUUCUUCGAUUUUUUUCAAAGAAUACUAUCAGAAUAGCAAACAGUUUGGAUCCUGAUGAGACGCCACGUUCUGUGGCGUCUCAUCUGGAUCCAAACUGUUUGCAAAGGCCUUUAAAAUUCGGUUCCCGCACUGAAAGGGUUAAAUGCAGUCUGCACAGGCUAAUCAGAGACAUCAGUUUCCGCCUAAACUGGAUUUUUGCUAAGAAGAUACUUUCUUUAAACAGAAAAUAUCAUAAUAGUGGAAAGUGUCGCUGCUGAUUAGCCUGUGCAGGCAUUAAACCCCCUUUUCACAGAGCACGGUUUUUGUGUGUGCGUAAAUCUUUGGAUUAAAUGUUAUCCAGAAAAUAUAAGGCCAUGAGCGUUUAAAAAUUAGCAGGAACAUAAUCUGUUUACUUCAUCAGUGGCUUGUCCCAUGUUUCAAUAAUCUUAUAUUCCAACUCAUAGAAAAUGUUUUCUCGAAUUUACUUUUUUGUUGGGAAAAGACAAAUCUCAUGGCCUAAUUGCAAUAUAGCUGGAGUACGUGUAUAUGCAAAUAAAAAUGUUGGUUAUUUGGCAAAUUACACAAUCUUCACAAGUGUUUUUAAAUCUUUUAAGAUUUAUUAUAUGGUUUGGAUUGCUUCUUGCAAUGCCAUAAAUGUAUGUCUGAAUCCAAAGAAGAAUAAAAUGAGUGUCCUUUAAAAUUUGCAUUAUAAUUAUGAUUAUUGUGGAUAUAGUUUAUAUAGUUUGUAUGCAUAUCUGACUAAGUUAUUUGUAUAUUUUGCUGAAACUGGUUAUGUUUCUUUUUAAAUAUUUAUUUGAAAUUCAGAUUCUGUUGCAAGAAAAAUUAUAAGAAAAAAUAAAUUUGAGAAGUAUUGAGAUUUUCCAGUGUAUUAUUUUAUUUUUUUUACGUUAAAGUCUCACAAAGGCCCAUUCAUUUUAAUAAAAAAUUGUUCUGUCUUUGCAAAGUGAACAAUUACAUACUGAAUUGUUGAUUCAAAUAUAUGAAAGACAACUUUUUUAUCUUUGAAAAUAUCCCAGCCUUUGAUAUUGUAUAGCCAGCCAUCUGUCUUAGUUUUUGCUGGCAUAAAAUAUGAAUCUGGUACUAGUUUGUAAUGAAUUGUUGAUCUUUUAACCAUUUGUAUACUUCUUGUGUUCUGGUAUCCAUACAUCCAUUCUGUUUAUAAACCAAUUAGGUACCUUAGAGACCCUUUAUAUAGCGCUUGCUUUCAAAACAGUAUUUAUGGUAUGUUUGUACGUCUUUGGUGUUAUUUCAGUUCAUUAUGACUACUAUAUUAACCAGGUUUUCCGAAGGAAAAAACUGGUUAUUAGAUUGGCGAAUGCGGGCGGGCUGGCUGGCUGGCUGGCGGGCUGGCGGGCGGGCGGAACAAGCUUGUCCGGGCCAUAACUUUGUCGUUCAUUGUGAGAUUUUAAAAUCAUUUGGCACAUUUGUUAACCAUCAUUAGGCGGUGUGUCGCGCGAAAAAAUUACGUCAAUAUCUCCAAGGUCACACUUUGAGUUCAAAGGUAAAAAAUAGCCAUAAAUGAGCUUGUCUGGGCUAUAACUAUGUCAUUCAUUAUGAUAUUUUAAAAUCAUUUGGCACAUUUGUUCACCAUCAUGGGACGGUGUGUCGCACGAAAGAAUCACGUCAAUAUCUCCAAUGUCAAGGUCGCCACGACUAAAAAUAGAUUUAUUUUAAAACAAACUUACAAAGGGGGGUAAUUUUGUUUGUUCAUUUCAAAAGUUCAUUUUGAGUUGUCUCCCUUCAUCAGAUUUUUUUUCACAAUGAAAACCUGGUUUUGUUACAAUUUUGUCCCUUGUUUUUAUUUUUAGAAUAUGUGUUAAGAAAAGACAAAUAUAAUUUUGUCAAAGUGUCACCAUGUACCAUGCAAGGAAUGAUUGUUUCUGUGUGCAAUUAACUGCAUAAUUUGAAUUUACCAAAAAUCUGGUAGAAAUCAGUGUACCGGUAUUGACAUUUUGUAGAUUGAUCUGCAUUACAUUAGUGCUGUUCAUGCUGUAUUGCAAGUUACCUUAGUGUCAUUUUAGCUCAUGCUCAGUAAUACCAUCUGUCCUUAUUUUUGCCUUUUCCUUGCCUGAUUAUUGUCAAGGAGACUGUGCUUUUGAAAUGCGUGUUUGUUUUGUAUUUCAGCUGAACAACUGAGGUUUUCAACUUUUGCACACAUUAUGUGGAUUGUUUUAUCAUCAAUAUAAAUUGCUUUGGACCUAAAUUUGAUUUUUACAUUAUACAUGCAUAGUCAGGUAUAUUUCUGUAUUAUAUAAACUGGAAAAUAAGUUCCUUUCAGAAUGUUUUUAGAAUAUAAUGUAGAAAGUAUGAAUGUAUACUACUAAUUAUACAUCUUGUUAUAACCCAAAAAAAGUAUGUUAUGCAUUAUUGUACACACUUUUUAAUCAUGUAUAUUUUGUUUUUAUUUAUUUUUUAAUACACAUAUUUUCGGGUACUUAAUAUCCAGUUAAGGCAUAUUUUCUGUAAGCAAUCAAAUAAGGUUUCAAUCAAACAAGGUUUUAUUUGUAGAUUGUUUCAUAUUAAUGCUUAAGCUGGAUUAUGGUGUGUAAACAAAUAAAAUUGUAAUAAAACAUUUUCUAACUUCUGAAAAUAAUGUUAUUUGAACACACUGGCAAUUGUUAUUCACUAGUUUAUUAAGAAAGAAAGGUCCUUAAUAAACUUGUGGAUAAUAUCAUAUGUACUAUACUAUAUUAUAUGUUCUUUAUUUUAAACAUAUACAUGAGAUAUGAUAAGAAAAACUUUUUAAUAAACCUUAUAGUAUUAUUCCUCACCUAGAAAGGAAUAAAUAAUAGGACUGGAUUUUUUCAACUUUUAUGUCUAUUUUGAUUGAGCAUUUUCAGUAGUUCUAAACACUAAAACUUGGCAUUACUUUCCUUGUUACAUAUUUCACAAAGGGGAGUUACUUGUGAUUUGUUUGUGUUUAAGCCAUUUAGAGUGUUUCACCUUUAGCAAUGUGCAAAAUGUCAAACAAAACACACACAAAUGAGUUAAAAGGAAUCUGCCGCAAUAAAUUUAUCAUACACAAUAUUUUGCAAAAAAUUAUAAAGAUGGCAAAAAGACCCACAUUUAUUUGAGAUUGUAUCUGAACCUCAUCCUAGCUGCCUGGCAAUGUUACUCUGUUUUAUAUUUUUGCAAAGAAGAAACCAUUUAACCCUUUCCCACGCAGAAGCAAGGUGAAAAUGGCUACAUGUAUGUGCAAACAGCAUAAAACUAGAACAGCCUGUGACUGAGUUGCAGUCUGUUCAGGUUUUAUGUUGUUUCAGUUUGCUUCUCAUCAGUAUCUAAGGGUUGGAAAUGAAGACUUUAACAUUUGAAUCUAGUAAGAAAGUUCUUAAAUUAAAUGUAACUUUCUAAGGGACUACAAAUGCUUGAACAAAUGUAUCUAAGUGGUAAAGGAUUAAGACCAGUUGCAAACUUUGCUGUGUAUAUGUUUGUCCACUGAUUGAUUUAUUUAACACUGUAUAACAAGUAAUUCUUUACUUGUGUGAAGUUUCUUUUUUUUAAGAAAGAAAACUUGAAAAUGUUCUUUAGAUUUCCCCCAGAGACACCAAGGACUGCUUCUACCCAGGAAUCAGACUCAAGAGCUUUUUUGAAAUAUAUAAUCUUUAACAUAUAAUCAAGUAGUUGUCAUUAAAAGUGAGAAAAGAAAACAUUCUUUUUAGCAAUAUAAUGUGUUAUAUGUUUUUAUGAAAGUCAUUUUCCUCACUUACAGUUAUUGACAUUGACUUACAAGAUGCUUUUGUUAUAUCUUGAUCAUAUUGUUGUAUCUUGAUGUGUAUAUCUGAGACUUGUUCUGGGGAAACUGGACUGAAUUCAUGUGCUUAAAGUGUUGUCCAAGAUAAGCCUGUGCAAUCCACACAGGCUCAUCAUGUACCACACUUUCUCUCUUGAAUGGAUUUUCAUUUAGAAGGGACUCCCUUAAAACUAAAAAUUCCAUUAAAAAAGGUAGUAUCGUCCCUGAUGAACCUUUGGGAAUUGCAAAGGCUAAUCAGGGACGACACUAAGCUAAUCAGGGACGACACUAGGCUAAUCAGGGACGACACUAGGCUAAUCAGGGACGACACUGUAGGCACAUUGAAGGAACCCAGUUUUCCUUGAACGCUAUUCAUUUUAUGAUAUUGAAUGUCUCUUGGUGUGCUUGGUUGCUUGGUAUGGUAUAUACCACUAUCUUAUAGAUCUGAUUUCUUCCGUUGUGUUCAGAUUUGGUUACUAUUGUAGGCGUCUGACCACAGGAUCUGAUGUUUAGUAAGAUAGGUCAGAUUGUUUUCAAAGGAUCCAAUUUUCACAUCAUGGUCAGAUCUGUUGUCUAAGGAUCUGAUUUUCACAUCUUUUUCAGAUUUGUAGCUAAAUGGCUUGAAUUUCCCAGUAUUAAGAGAUCUUUAGCCUUAGGACUGGAUUUUCAGAUCAAGAUAAAAGGAUCUGUUGUUUUUUUCUAGCCUUCAUCUAGAUUCAAGGUUAUUGUAUUUUGCUUCGCAUUGGUCAUCCGUUUAUCAACUGUUUUUACCGUCUGUCGGAUUUGCCAUGUUUGACCUGCUGUUUGGAUGUUGUUUUCAUGUGGUCUGUAAAAAUUGCAAUUGACAUCAUUAUAAUUUUAUGUGUAGAUAAACGCCUUUGUAGUGUACAUUAUUUUUUAUCAGCAGUUUAUCGAUGUAUCUAUGUAUAUGUGAAUACUUGAAUGUUGUAUUUUAGCUCAUUUAUUUCUUGUAGUUGUUAUCAUGUUCAUAUUAAUAUGCACUUUCAAAAUAAAUUACAUAUUGUAAA